CUUGACUCCAUACUUGACUCAGACGGUCAGCACAGGUAUACUUGACUCCAUACUUGACUCAGACAGACAGCACAGGAAAGCCGGCCAGAGGAGUGAGAGAGGCAAGCCGAAGACACAACACAAUGUAGCUGCAUGCCACUUUCUCUCACAGAGAUGCAUCACCCUGGCUCUCAGCAAUCAUUGACUCUAAAUAUAUCGUUAAAGCCUGUUUUAUUUUACUUAUAUUUAGCACACUCAUUUCAGACAGACAUGCAAAGCAAUGUGUAAUCAUAAAGCUAAACUUCUUACCAUGCUCACAACUUUGGCAGUAACUCACACAGUUUAUAGAGUACCGCUCGUGUCAUUACACUGAGCUACACAUGUCCAGCAGAGCAUUCUAC